CUCUGUCUCAAAAAAAAAAAAAAAAGUUCGCUCUGUAUGUUUUUGGUAUUUGUACUGAAGUGCAGAUAAAUUUGCAAGAUGCAAAAAUAGUUUGCCCUAUUUUACAGACAACAUUAUGAAAAUAACUACUGUUGAUUCAUUCUCAGAAGAAUAGCUGAAGAAGAUUCAGGGGCAGAGAUUACAGAGGGAAGACAGACAAUGCAAGUUGAAGCUCACAGGACAAGGGCACUGAUUGUGUCUCUGUGUGUGUGCAUGCACAAAUGCACAAAAGAAACAGAGUAAGAGCAGAAGCUGAUGUGGUCUAACACAGGAGUCCUCAAACCCCAGGCCACAGACUGGAAGGUGUGUUAGGAACCUGGCCGCACAGCAGGAGUUGAGCAGCAGAAAGGCAUCAAAAGAAAGCCUAAGUGUGAAAUAAUACUCAUCAUUAAGAAGUAAAGAGCCACACAAAUCAACAGUUUGGCUUAGAUUAGAUUAAUCUCUUAUUUUGCCCAAAUAUUAUCUUAAAGUCUGAAAAAAUGUCUAAUUCAACUAAGAAGAAAUUUACUCUAAUAAUUAUAUAAAGACAGGAAAACAACAAAUAUAGGAACAAAUUGAAGGAUGUCUAAAUCUGCUGUUAUCACAGGCUGAUUUUCCACAUGUAUGCAUGUAUGUAUGUAUAUAUGUAUAUAUUUGUUGAGCUAUUAUAUCAAUUGUUUACUUAUUAAUUCAUGUAUUCAUGUAUAUUCUGGCAAGUCACAGAUAUUACUGACUUAUAGACUAACAAAUGGAGCAUGGGGUCACCUAAUUCAGUGUACUCACUCAUAUUGCCUCGGGUAGGGCCUUUACACAAAGUAAGCACUCAAUAAAUAGAUGCUGGAUUGGUGAACUGUGCAGCUGAGGGUGCUGAGCCCAGACGGACAUGUCCAGGAUCACUCAGCCAUGAAUCAGGAGGGCCAGUCUCUGGUGGUCAGCCCAUUACAUGUUCUAUUAUGCCCAGCCUCAUCCUCCUUAGCAGCCUCACUUUCCUAUUUCUGAAAAAAAGAUAAGCAAUUUGGAGACAUACCUGGCUCAAUAAAGCAAUAAUGUGCUUGCCCUCAUUGUUUUUCUAUCACCAAUGAUGAAGGAUACACUUUUUGUUUUUGUUUUUUAAGGGAAAACAUUGAAAUGAAUGGUUUCAAGUAUACUAAACAAUAUUGCUGCCCUAAAUUACCCCCCAAAUUACAUAAAUCUCAGAGUACACAAAUAUUAUAGAGUAGUUAUUUAAUAUGUGAUGUGCCCCAAGUAUCUAUGUUUCUGUGCUACUGUGGAGGUCAUGCUUUAUUAUUUGAGCUACAAGGAAGCUCCAGGAGAAGUGCAGGAAGCUCCUUUAAUAGAUUUAUACUCUGGCCCUGAAUUUUAAAAAUGUUUACCUAUGGAAAAAUACAAUUCACAACUCUUCAACAUUUUACCUUUACUUGGCAUCAUUUCUCUAAAUACAUUAGAAAAAUGGAUUUCUAGGUCUCUAGUGUGUAUGAAAUACAGCUUUAUCCUUCUUUCUCAUGCUUCCAUUUACCCAUCCAGUCAGCAUUUAUUCAUGCAGCCCCUAUUAUAUGCUAAGAACACGAUUAGAUUUUAGAACCUGGAUAUUCAAAGUAUGGAUCAGCAGCAUCGGUACCCAGAAUCAUAGAAUCAGAACCUACAUUUUAACAAGACUCCCCCAGCUGACUCAUAUGCACAUUAAAGUUGGGGAACCACUAUAAAGACACAGCCCUACCCUUGAGAUUUACAGUCUAUCACAGGAAAGAGUCAGGGCCACAGCCAGCCCAAACGGAACAGUAGGGCACACAUUGAAAAGAUGCCGAUCCCCAGAUGGAGGAAGCCCUGUGGGCACAUGCACUGGCAAGUGGAGGAGUUUUUGUACAAAUUAGAAAAAGGAGUCUCUUCUUCAAGGUGGUCCAUCCCACAUACCUAGACUCAGGGAUAUGGAAAGCGGUGUGCAGGCCACAUUCUAACAUUUGGUUGCUCUGUGCAACCACCAGCUUUUACGGUGUGUCCCUGAAAUAGUAAUGUUUUCUCCCUCCCUCACUCCUUCUCUCUCUCUCUUUUUUGUUUUUCAUUGUUCCAAGCUCUUUUAUUAAUCUUAACUCAGUUAAUCCUGACAACAAAUCUAUGAGGUAGGCAUUAUUAUUACACACUUUUCACACUCAUGAAAUUGAGGAAUAGAAGUUAGUAAAAUAACUUGCCAUAGGUCACACAUACAACCAGUAAGUGGUAGUUGGGGGAUGCAGUCACAGGUAGUUUGGGUCAGGGUCAGCUCUGUUCACAACUAGUGUUAAUGAAGACAGACCUUAUAAUUUUGUCUUUUUUUUUUUUUUUUUUUUUUCUUUCAGAAAUUGGCAUGCCACCUUUCAUUCUGUCUGUUUGAGAGAUUGAUUGUUUUCCCUAAGGAGCUGAUCGUAUAUUAUUCUGGGAAGCCUGAGUGUUAUCUUACAGGCUACAGAGAACACUACAGGAACUGUCCAAGUCGUGCUAUUAUCUGGUUUAAUUUUCAGGAAUAUGACCCUGGUAGCAAUAAAAGAAAAAAAAUGGCAGGAAUGUUUGAAGGAAGUCCCUAAAACUAUGUAGGCAAGAGAUAAUGAGGCACUGGAGGAGGUGGGGGACCCCAAGCAGCAAGGCUGGAAGACUCUCCCUAUAAAUGGGCAGGUGGGUGAGAAGAGGAGAAGUGAAAGUUUAUAUUUUCUUUUUUAGUAGAUUUUUAAAAUUUUAUAUUUGUGUUCUUUAAGGUUAUAUGGAUGGGUUUGAUAGUUUAAUUUAUGCUUUUUAAAUUUAAUGUUUAAAUGUGUAUAGUAAUCUGAGGAUAGCAAGUGAAUGUGGAAUUAAAAAGAACAAAAGGAAAAAGAAGCAGACACAAUGUCAUGUUACUCCUUUAACAUUUUUAGCGAAUGAAAUAAAUUUUAAAUAGAUAGGCUACCUUUUAUUUAUUUUUUCAUGGGUAUAAAAACAUGCUUUCUAUUUUAAUUUGCCUUUUUGCGUAGACUAAAAUUUCCCUUUGAGUCUAAUGAUAUUAAGAGGAGUGAUAGUAAGUAGAAAAGAAAACAAAAGGAAUAAAAUAUUCUAUCAAGUUAGGGGAAAAGCCUGUCUUUCCUUUAGUUUUGUAAUCAUUACUCAAUAAUUAAUUAUUGAUCCUGGAGUUUUCGAAUUUGGGAAAUGACAUGAAUGCUGAGUCAAGAAUAUAAGCAAUGAACCUCUAUGAAGGGAAGAUAAACCCUUCAGUUGAGAGUCUCAGGUUGAAUAUGUCAAGGAGAAGCCUGGAAUACAGACCAGGUGCUGCUGCCAGUGGGAGAGGGAAAAAGUGGCCAUGGGGAGCUCCUCCCUGCGACCUGAGGCCCCUCAAAGCUGUUUAGCACACUAAAUACACGCGUAAUGAAUCAAGCAUACAAAGAAACAGUUAGGAUGUUUAGCACAUCUCUAUCUUCCUCAAGCAGGCACCCUUCUUAUUCCUGCAAUCAUGGCUACAAAAUUUCAUGUUUGUAGAAACAGGCUGGGAAAUGCUGAACUGCACAGAAAGGUAGUCUAGAGGAAGGAAAUGCUGAACUGCAUAGAAAGGCAGUCUAGAGGAAGGAGCAUCUGCUUUGAAGUCAGUCAGUCCUGAGUUGGAGUUCUGGAUAUCUACUUUCUAAAUGCAACCUCGGGCCUACUAUAUAUCCUCUCUGCACCUCAGUUCCCCUACCUGUACAAUGAGAGGGUUUGAUACCCUCAUCUAGGGGUUAAGGUAGAAUGACCACAUUUCCUCAACUUCCUAGGAUAGUGUUUGUUUAUAUCCUUUGCCUCUAAGUCAUUAACAGUGUUCCCUUUCAUUCUAAAAUGGUCCCAAUUUGAAAAAAUUAUAUGCUCCCUCCUCAUCAUAAGGAUAUUAAAUGAUUUGAUGUGUGUAAAGCCAGCAUUGAGCUUUUAGUCAUCAUGUUCCUUCCUCCUAUCAGUAUGUGAAAGAAAGAGGAAAAUUUGGCAGAAUUAUCAUUACUGUAGCCUCGCUUAAUGACACACCUGGGAUACAAAAGCACCCAGCAUUCCUAUUUCAUGGACACUUAGGUAAAGCACUUUAAUAAAGUGCUUUACAGAGGGUAAUCUAAGGAAGAAAAUUUCACCUCCAUUAAAAGAAAAGACAAAAUUCUUCAUUUUAAGGUUACAUGUGGAAAAAGGAAAUCGAUGAUAGUUUGCAAAAAUACUACUGAAAAGUAUCAUACUUGACAGCAGAUGUUCCAGUUUAUCCUCUGCAUAUACAGAAAAAUAGCCUAAGGUUAAUGAGAAUCACCACUAUAUAAUACAUACACAUACACACACAUAUGUGUCUGUAUAUAUAUAUAUAUACACACACACACAUAUAUACAUUAUAUAUAUGUAUGUGUAUAUGUGUGUGUGUGUGUAUAUAUAGACAGAUAGAGAGAUGUAGUAAUUGUAGAUGUGCAAUCAGUUGCUUACUUAGAAUAACCUGCUUCACUGAUAAAAACAACUGGGUAAAUUCUGAUUGUUUUGUUAAGUUUAUCUGCAUUUAAAACAUUAUAAAUGCCCUGACUUAUAAAUAUUGAAAACAAAGCUAAAAUAUUAGUUACUAAUUCUCUUAGUCCAUUCUUACCUCCCUGAAAUGAAAUACAUGAGGCUGGGUAAUUUAUAAGGAAAAACUGUUUAAUUGGCUCAGAGUUCUACAUGCUGUACAAGAUGUGUGGUGCUGGCAGCUGCUCCUAGUGAGAGUCUCAGGAAGCUUACCAGUGCUUGCGGAAAGUGAAGAGGGAGCAGGCAUGUCACCUGAAAAACAGGGAGCAAGAGGGGCAGGGGGAGUGGCAUGUUCUUUUAAACAACCAGAUCUCACAGGAACUCAGAGUGCUAACUCACUAACCGAAGGGAUGGUGCUAAGCCAUUCACGGAAUCUGCCUCCAUGGUCCAAUCCCCUCCCACCAGGCCCUACCUCCAACAUUGAGAAUCACAUUUCAACAUGAGAUAUGGAGGAGACAAACAUCCAAAGCAAAACAUUAAUGCUGAGAAUUUAAUGGAAAUGCAGCAGUGUUAUUCUGAGCAUCAAGAAAAAUGAUCUGGAAGCAUCAAUAUUUAACAGAUUUAUGAUGUGUUUGAUACCAGAUAAGUAGCUGGACAUCUGUAGUUUUGAAGAAACUUUUGGUGGUGAAAUUUUAGAAAAUUUAGAAAUUUUAGAAAAAUUAACAUCUUUACAAACUUUUGUAGUCACACUGAAAAUAUGAAGGAAAAAUAAAAAAAAUUUGUUUAUUAUGCUCUAAGCUUGUUUAUGAACAAAAAAACCAGGGAAACAAAAACAGCCACCCAGAAAGUAGACAUGGUGUAACUAUUGACAGAAUGUCUCUAAUGAAGCUGCAAAGAGCUCAGAGAGAAAGCCAUUGACUGGGAAUCAGAAGACUGGUUUUUAUUUUCAGCUCUGCCACAACCUGACCAUGAGAUCUCAAAUGGAACUUCUUUGGGCUUCAUUUUCACUGGCUAUAAACUAAAUGGUCUGGAAUCUCUAGUUCCAACAUUUCUUCUAUCAACAGUGUUCCAUGAUCCCAUGGUUCCUUAGUGUAGAGAUUAGUAACAUCCAACACAUCUUCUGGGCUCCUCUGCAUCCUUGUGUCAAUUUAAGACCAUCACUUUCCCACUCCCACCAAUUCCUUGUGCUCCAGCACCACCCGUAGGGCUCCCAGACCCUGCUGGUCCAAAUACAGGUAUCUAAUUGCUCCUCCUCACACCACUGUAGUGAGUCUCUGUGUUCUCCAUGGCAUGCUCCCAUCCAACUUCACCUGGGUGACAAGAGAUUGGUAGGUACUGAAAGGAUACACUGCAAGAAUUAGGAUGCUCUGCAUUCCAGUCUCAACUCUCUCCCCCAAAAGAAGCCCAGGUCCCUUUGAAAUGAUGCCACAUUUUCUACACAAGUGGCAAUAAUUAAACACUUAAUCAAAAGUUCUCUUUCUAUUGCAAUAACUUAUUUACUCAAAAAAAAAAAAAGACAAAGCUAGAGCUGAAAGGCAAUUUUUCACUUCAGGAGAAUUUGUCAAGUCUCUUACUACACUGCUGCAUAAGCUUGGCUUGGAGAGCCACAAUUUAUCAUCUGACCUUCGCUUGCUGAUACUGCCUUCAGGUCCGCAUUUCUGUGAGUAGCACACAGAUGGGCUCUGUGGGAUCUCACAAGAUCCAUCCAUACAAGUAGUGAACUCUCCAUUUCAGGAGCAAUGGACUAAUGAAUCAGGAAUCGCUCCACUUGGCACCCACGACGGUGGAAUAAUUCAUCACAGCCAACUACAGAGACUAUUACAUCAGGAAUAAAGAAAAGUGAGUGCCAAUUAAGCUUCUUGCUCAGACUAUUAAAGUUACAGCAUUAAUACUGCCCACAAAUCUUUCUAAUAGUUGAUUCAUCUGAAUUAUUGUAUAGUCCAUAGGAAAAGAAUGACAGAAAAAUUGAAUACUGGAUAUAAAAAAUGACAAACUUAUUUUGAUAACAUAUUUAAAAGCACCAUGCUUACUCUGAUGCAGAAGAUGCUAUUUAUAGCUUAAUUGUGUCAAAGAGUGAACAUUACAAUUAGCACUCUAUCCUUGCCACGUUUUUUUGUGAACUCUUCUAAGAUAAUUAGUAUGAUUGCCUAAGGCUGUGGGAGUAUAAAUGUCCUCUUUUUACUGCUGGAAAUGUUAUUGUUGUUGCUAUUUGGGUCAAGUAUCUUAAAACUUCCCAGAAAGGAUUUUUCAGAAAUAAUUCUGGGAGGCAAGUGAAGAAAUUGCCAGAG
rnacentral:lncRNA from 1 species